GACGAAAGUCUGACCGAGCAACGCCGCGUGAGUGAAGAAGGUUUUCGGAUCGCAAAGCUCUGUUGUAAGUCAAGAACGUGUGUGAGAGUGGAAAGUUCACACAGUGACGGUAGCUUACCAGAAAGGGACGGCUAACUACGUGCCAGCAGCCGCGGUAAUACGUAGGUCCCGAGCGUUGUCCGGAUUUAUUGGGCGUAAAGGGAGCGCAGGCGGUCAGGAAAGUCUGGAGUAAAAGGCUAUGGCUCAACCAUAGUGUGCUCUGGAAACUGUCUGACUUGAGUGCAGAAGGGGAGAGUGGAAUUCCAUGUGUAGCGGUGAAAUGCGUAGAUAUAUGGAGGAACACCAGUGGCGAAAGCGGCUCUCUGGUCUGUCACUGACGCUGAGGCUCGAAAGCGUGGGUAGCGAACAGGAUUAGAUACCCUGGUAGUCCACGCCGUAAACGAUGAGUGCUAGGUGUUAGGCCCUUUCCGGGGCUUAGUGCCGGAGCUAACGCAAUAAGCACUCGCCUGGGGAGUACGACCGCAAGGUUGAAACUCAAAGGAAUUGACGGGGGCCCGCACAAGCGGUGGAGCAUGUGGUUUAAUUCGAAGCA
rnacentral:rRNA from 1 species